UGGAGGGGUACUGAACCGCCAAGGCCAGU
rnacentral:piRNA from 1 species